rnacentral:rRNA from 1 species
AGCGGCGGACGGGUGAGUAACACGUGGGCAACCUGUCCUGGGAUGGGGGGAUAACAUUUGGAAACAGAUGCUAAUAACCGCAUUAAUAAUCAAAAACCACAUGGGUUUUGAUUUCAAAGAUGGCUUCGGCUAGUCACUCCAGGAUGGGCCCGCGGUGCAUUAGCUAGUUGGUAAGGUAACGGCUUACCAAGGCGAUGAUGCAUAGCCGAGUUGAGAGACUGAUCGGCCACAAUGGAACUGAGACACGGUCCAUACUCC